CCCUUCACUCCAUCCUCCACUGCUCUGUGCCACCUGAGACUAACCUCUUUGGAAAGCUUAAUCUGGGUUCCAUUGGUUUUCCACUGGACUCCCCCUGUAAGACACCAGUGGGAAACUGGAGAGAGGGAAUGGAAACUCAGGCCCAGACAGGGCCUUCGCCGCCUGAGGUCAUUCAACCAGUGUGACGACUGCCAGUAUUGAGCAAUAGUCUCCCAGGGUAACGCAGCAGGGAGUCCUGGGGCAUUUCUCAGACACUGAAAACAAAGGGUAUGUAUCCAUGGGGUGGAUAGGGUUUGAGCUCUCACUUUCCAACAGGGAGAAGCCCCAAACUCUCAGGAUGCAGAGAAGAAAAUUAGCAAGCCUCUAUACUGGGUUGGUUCUGGGCUAUAUGGGGACACUGUGGCUGGGUGACCUUAAGAAUGUCACUUUCUUCUCUGAAACUCGGUUCAAUUGUUCCACAAAGAUAAUAAUGAAAACUCUUUAUAAACUGUAAUACACUAUGCAGGUGCUAGUUUGGUCA